rnacentral:tRNA from 1 species
UGGGGUGUAGCCAAGUGGUAAGGCAUCGGGUUUUGAUCCCGUGAUCGCAGGUUCGACCCCUGCCACCCCAACCA